AUUUCUAGACUCACAUUCACUCACUAAAAACCUAAAUUAGUCGUCUUCAUCCAGAAACCAUAAGUCGUCCGCUAUGCCGCUUCUCCUUCUUCCCAAACUGCCAUCGUACUAGCAACAUCUCUUCUAUCUCUCUCCUUACUCUCUUCGGUCUCCGAUAUCCCUAUGUUACCAUGACCCUUCGUUACACACCAUUUACUGGAAACCCUAACCUUAAGUUACCACCACCAGCGAAGAGGUGAUAACAGAAGGUAUUACGAAGAAUGGAGUUGGUCUUUGAUGAAAACGAUGAUGAAAGCCCUCACCUUUCUUCCUAAACCAAAAAAUUUCACUUCAAGCCUCCCUCAAUGUGUGUGUAUAUGUGUUUGAUAAAUGAUAAACCCUAACAUCGCCAUCAUCUUCAAACAGCUCCCGAUUUUGAAUUGAAAAUCAUAACCAAGCUUAGGGGACCAUUUGGAUUUGGAAAUCCAUGUCAGGUGGUGAUUGUGAAAUUAGCAAUUUUCAAGAAAGAAUUCGUUUCUACGGUUGGUUGUGGGUGUAUGGAUUUGCAAUUUCAGGUGGUCAUGAGUGUAUGUGUUGCAGCAGGUGAUGGAAAAUAAUCAAAAUAUGGUGGUCGAGGCUUUCUCUGUGGAGUUUGGUAUAAUAACACUGGGUUCAAAUUCAACCACUUCUUCAGAACCAUCCACGAAGACACGUAGGGGUGGAUGAUGUGUCGGUGUCAUGGUUGGUGGAUGGAUGCAUAGCGGACCACAGUAGUUGUUGCAGAGACUAUCAUCGACGGCAUAGGGUGUGUGAAGCUCAUUCCAAGACACCAGUUGUCGCCAUACAACUUUAGCAUGGAUAAAUAGAUCCUUUGGUUUUGCUUUGGACUUUGUUUGGUCAAUAGAUGGUGAGUAUGUUGUUAGAGAGAGCACAUCUAAAGUCAAGAUUUUUAACAAAUCUUUCCAGGAAAAGAAGAGUAUCAUGCCGACAUUUUCACCUGAGCGAAUAUAUGGAGGAUCUUUGGUGGCAAUGUGCUCAAAUGAUUUUAUAUGUUUUUAUGAUUGGUCUGAGUGCAGAUUGAUUCAACAAAUUGAUGUUAAUGUCAAAAACCUAUAUUGGGAUGAUAGCAAAAAUCCAAAACGAAGGAACAUGAAGCGCAAAUUUCUGGUUGUGCUUUGGUGGGAAACAAAGAUUCACCAUUAUCAGACUCUAAGAUAUGCUUAUUUUCUUGCAUCCUCACUCUAUAAAGGAAACUUUGGGUUGAUAUGAAAUUAUGUUAUUAGGCACGUAUAAGAAAAUUACAAGCUUGGAUAUUUUUUUUCUUGUGGAUAAAGCGGCGGAUCAUUUCUUUUCAGGGACUUAAACGUUAAGAGCCGUGAGAUGUGAAUUUGGUAGUAGUUUAACAUGAAUAGAAAGCAUGUUCUUUAAUUUACAUUUUCUUUUAGCAACAAACGUGCUUAUUGACUUAAAUCAGACUUUUUUCAUGAUGUUUCAUGUGUUAAAGACUGCAAAAGGAAAUUUCACCACAA